rnacentral:rRNA from 1 species
UAAGGAAUAUUGGUCAAUGGAGGCAACUCUGAACCAGCCAUGCCGCGUGGAGGAUGAAGGCCCUCUGGGUUGUAAACUUCUUUUAUAAGGGAAGAAAUGCAGACAUUCUUGUUUGUUUGACGGUACCUUAGGAAUAAGCACCGGCUAACUCCGUGCCAGCAGCCGCGGUAAUACGGAGGGUGCAAGCGUUAUCCGGAUUCACUGGGUUUAAAGGGUGCGUAGGCGGGCAGGUAAGUCAGUGGUGAAAUCUUCGAGCUUAACUCGGAAACUGCCGUUGAUACUAUCUGUCUUGAAUACUCGGGAGGUGAGCGGAAUAUGUCAUGUAGCGGUGAAAUGCUUAGAUAUGACAUAGAACACCAAUUGCGAAGGCAGCUCACUACAGAGUCAUUGACGCUGAGGCACGAAAGCGUGGGGAUCAAACAG